rnacentral:rRNA from 1 species
GAUGAACGCUGGCGGCGUGCCUAAUACAUGCAAGUCGAGCGAACGGACGAGAAGCUUGCUUCUCUGAUGUUAGCGGCGGACGGGUGAGUAACACGUGGAUAACCUACCUAUAAGACUGGGAUAACUUCGGGAAACCGGAGCUAAUACCGGAUAAUAUUUUGAACCGCAUGGUUCAAAAGUGAAAGACGGUCUUGCUGUCACUUAUAGAUGGAUCCGCGCUGCAUUAGCUAGUUGGUAAGGUAACGGCUUACCAAGGCAACGAUGCAUAGCCGACCUGAGAGGGUGAUCGGCCACACUGGAACUGAGACACGGUCCAGACUCCUACGGGAGGCAGCAGUAGGGAAUCUUCCGCAAUGGGCGAAAGCCUGACGGAGCAACGCCGCGUGAGUGAUGAAGGUCUUCGGAUCGUAAAACUCUGUUAUUAGGGAAGAACAUAUGUGUAAGUAACUGUGCACAUCUUGACGGUACCUAAUCAGAAAGCCACGGCUAACUACGUGCCAGCAGCCGCGGUAAUACGUAGGUGGCAAGCGUUAUCCGGAAUUAUUGGGCGUAAAGCGCGCGUAGGCGGUUUUUUAAGUCUGAUGUGAAAGCCCACGGCUCAACCGUGGAGGGUCAUUGGAAACUGGAAAACUUGAGUGCAGAAGAGGAAAGUGGAAUUCCAUGUGUAGCGGUGAAAUGCGCAGAGAUAUGGAGGAACACCAGUGGCGAAGGCGACUUUCUGGUCUGUAACUGACGCUGAUGUGCGAAAGCGUGGGGAUCAAACAGGAUUAGAUACCCUGGUAGUCCACGCCGUAAACGAUGAGUGCUAAGUGUUAGGGGGUUUCCGCCCCUUAGUGCUGCAGCUAACGCAUUAAGCACUCCGCCUGGGGAGUACGACCGCAAGGUUGAAACUCAAAGGAAUUGACGGGGACCCGCACAAGCGGUGGAGCAUGUGGUUUAAUUCGAAGCAACGCGAAGAACCUUACCAAAUCUUGACAUCCUUUGACAACUCUAGAGAUAGAGCUUUCCCCUUCGGGGGACAAAGUGACAGGUGGUGCAUGGUUGUCGUCAGCUCGUGUCGUGAGAUGUUGGGUUAAGUCCCGCAACGAGCGCAACCCUUAAGCUUAGUUGCCAUCAUUAAGUUGGGCACUCUAAGUUGACUGCCGGUGACAAACCGGAGGAAGGUGGGGAUGACGUCAAAUCAUCAUGCCCCUUAUGGUUUGGGCUACACACGUGCUACAAUGGACAAUACAAAGGGCAGCGAAACCGCGAGGUCAAGCAAAUCCCAUAAAGUUGUUCUCAGUUCGGAUUGUAGUCUGCAACUCGACUACAUGAAGCUGGAAUCGCUAGUAAUCGUAGAUCAGCAUGCUACGGUGAAUACGUUCCCGGGUCU